rnacentral:rRNA from 1 species
CAUGUCCUACGGGAGGCAGCAGUGGGGGAUAUUGCACAAUGGGGGAAACCCUGAUGCAGCGACGCCGCGUGAGUGAAGAAGUAUUUCGGUAUGUAAAGCUCUAUCAGCAGGGAAGAAAAAAGACGGUACCUGACUAAGAAGCCCCGGCUAACUACGUGCCAGCAGCCGCGGUAAUACGUAGGGGGGCAAGCGUUAUCCGGAUUUACUGGGUGUAAAGGGAGCGUAGACGGAAUUGCAAGUCUGAUGUGAAAAUCCGGGGCCCAACCCCGGAACUGCAUUGGAAACUGUAUUUCUAGAGUGUCGGA